AUGUCAUUACAACAAACAUGUUGUGGGCACUGCCGGCCACGCGAGCUCGAGCUCGCCGGCGACGAUCCCAGGCCACCCCUCUCGCCCCAGCCUUCCUUUACUUGCCAUGGACGUCGAGCUCGACAUCCGCCACUAUCCUCUGUAGGUCGUGGCCGCGCACAGAAGCCAGCCGGUGGACGCGAGCUUGGCCCUGGCGCGGCGUUGCGACGACAUCGCCGGAGAAGAGCGUGUCGACGGCUGGGCGCCGGGCCGCCGCCCUUGCGCGCGAGCGCGGUGAGGCAGAUCAUGAGGCAGGCGAGGUCCACGGCGGAGGACUCGGCCUGGAAGAUGGAGUGCGGGAGCAGGAAGUAG
rnacentral:rRNA from 1 species